GCUAGGCAUGACGGUGCAUGCCUCUGAUUCCAGUGACUGGGAGGGGAAGCUGGCAGAUCUUUGAGCUCCAAAGUUCUAAGCCUCAGUGGCUUAUGCUGAUCAUGUGUCCACGCUAAGUUUGGCACCAAAAUAAUGAGGCCUAGGGAGCUGAGGUCCACCAGGUCGCCUAAGAAGGGAUGAAAUGGCCCAGGUGGGAAAUGGAGCAAGUCAAAUUUUCCAUGCUGAUCAACAGUGGGAUUAGUCAUGUGAAUCACAGAUGCCCUCCUAGCUUAGGUAAGAUGGGAAUACCU
rnacentral:SRP_RNA from 1 species